UUUUAUGGAGAGUUUGAUCCUGGCUCAGGAUGAACGCUGGCGGCGUGCCUAAUACAUGCAAGUCGAGCGAACAGACGAGGAGCUUGCUCCUCUGACGUUAGCGGCGGACGGGUGAGUAACACGUGGAUAACCUACCUAUAAGACUGGGAUAACUUCGGGAAACCGGAGCUAAUACCGGAUAAUAUAUUGAACCGCAUGGUUCAAUAGUGAAAGACGGUUUUGCUGUCACUUAUAGAUGGAUCCGCGCCGCAUUAGCUAGUUGGUAAGGUAACGGCUUACCAAGGCAACGAUGCGUAGCCGACCUGAGAGGGUGAUCGGCCACACUGGAACUGAGACACGGUCCAGACUCCUACGGGAGGCAGCAGUAGGGAAUCUUCCGCAAUGGGCGAAAGCCUGACGGAGCAACGCCGCGUGAGUGAUGAAGGUCUUCGGAUCGUAAAAACCUGU
rnacentral:rRNA from 1 species